GUUCAUUCGCCGAAAUGUUUGUCAAUUAUAUUUCACAGUAAGAAUUUACAGCACGACUCAAACGCGGGAACGAAGCUACAGAUGCCGAUGGAGACCAGAACUGCUUUGGAAAAAUACGAACGCCUUAGGGCCGAUCUUGAAGAAGGCUUAUUGACUGAAAGGGGCUUUCAUGAAAAAGUUAGGGCUUUGCUACAGGAUACGCCCUCUACAAGCCAAGGAAGUAAAAGUAAAGGUAUAUAUUUCUGUUU